rnacentral:rRNA from 1 species
CCCUUAGAUGUUCUGGGCAGCACGCGCGCUACAAUGGUCUUCGCAAACGGAUGCAUUCUCGAAGGAGAAUGCCAAUCUUGGAAUCUAUGCCUUGGUCGGGACAGUUGCUUGCAAUUUUUGGUCUUCAACGAGGAAUUCCUAGUAAACGCAAGUCAUCAACUUGCAUUGAUUACGUCCCUGCCCUUUGUACACACCGCCCGUCGCACCUACCGAUUGAAUGGUCCGGUGAAGCCUCCGGAUUGGCGCGCACCUCGGUGCCGCCGAGAAGUUGGCUAAACCUUACCAUUUAGAGGAAGGUGAAGUCGUAACA